rnacentral:sRNA from 1 species
AAUGCUCCGCAUUGGGGAAGGAUGAGAAGCUUCGACCAAGGUUCGAGUCUCACGCAGUGAGACAACGCGCUUCAGCGCGGCCCGCAGGGUGAGUCGCAC